rnacentral:rRNA from 1 species
UACGUAGGGUGCAAGCGUUAAUCGGAAUUACUGGGCGUAAAGCGUGCGCAGGCGGUGAUGUAAGACAGUUGUGAAAUCCCCGGGCUCAACCUGGGAACUGCAUCUGUGACUGCAUUGCUGGAGUGCGGCAGAGGGGGAUGGAAUUCCGCGUGUAGCAGUGAAAUGCGUAGAUAUGUGGAGGAACACCAAUGGCGAAGGCAGCCCCCUGGGUCAACACUGACGCUCAUGCACGAAAGCGUGGGGAGCAAACAGG